UGGGGAAUUUUCCGCAAUGGGCGAAAGCCUGACGGAGCAAUACCGCGUGAGGGAGGAAGGCUCUUGGGUUGUAAACCUCUUUUCUCAGGGAAGAAGCCAGUGACGGUACCUGAGGAAUAAGCAUCGGCUAACUCCGUGCCAGCAGCCGCGGUAAUACGGAGGAUGCAAGCGUUAUCCGGAAUCAUUGGGCGUAAAGCGUCCGCAGGUGGCGCUUCAAGUCUGCUGUCAAAGACCGGAGCUCAACUCUGGAAAGGCAGUGGAAACUGAAGAGCUAGAGUGCGGUAGGGGUAGAGGGAAUUCCCAGUGUAGCGGUGAAAUGCGUAGAGAUUGGGAAGAACAUCGGUGGCGAAAGCGCUCUGCUGGGCCGCAACUGACACUCAGGGACGAAAGCUAGGGGAGCGAAAGGGAUUAGAUACCCCCGUAGUCC
rnacentral:rRNA from 1 species